GCCUUUGUCUCUAGCUGCAGCCGGCGUUUCAGGUCUCGUCUUCACUGGUCUGUGUCCUAUUCUCCUGGAGGCCCAGCCUCUGUGGCCCUGUGACCUGCAGGUAUUGGGAGAUCCACAGCUAAAACCCCAGGACACCCUGGAAGCAUAGAAAUGUCUCCCUCUGAUGCCGAGCCGAAGCUGGACUGUACUGCUGCCAUCUCGGCUCACUGCAACCUCCCUGCCUGAUUCUCCUGCCUCAGCCUGCCGAGUGCCUGCGAUUGCAGGUGCGCGCCGCCACGCCUGACUGGUUUUCGUACUUUUUUGGUGGAGACGGGGUUUCGCUGUGUUGGCCGGGCUGGUCUCCAGCUCCUAACCGCGAGUGAUCCGCCAGCCUCGGCCUCCUGAGGUGCCGGGAUUGCAGACGGAGUCUCGUUCACUCAGUGCUCAAUGUUGCCCAGGCUGGAGUGCAGUGGCGUGAUCUCAGCUGGCUACAACCUCCACCUCCCAGCCGCCUGCCUUGGCCUCCCAAAGUACCGAGAUUGCAGCCUCUGCCCGGCCGCCACCCCGUCUGGGAAGUGAGGAGCGUCUCUGCCUGGCCGCCCAUCGUCUGGGAUGUGAGGGGCCCCUCUGCCUGGCUGCCCAGUCUGAAAGUGAGGAGGGUCUCUGCCCGGCCGCCAUCCCAUCUAGGAAGUGACGAGCACCUCUUCCCAGCCACCAUCCCAUCUAGGAAGCAAGGAGCGUCUCUGCCCGGCCGCCCAUCGUAUGAGAUGUGGGGAGCGCCUCUGCCCCGCUGCCCCGUCUGGGAUAUGAGGAGCGCCUCUGCCCAGCCGCGACCCCGUCUGGGAGGUGAGGAGCGUCUCUGCCUGGCCGCCCCAUCUGAGAGG
rnacentral:lncRNA from 1 species